UGCAUGGGGUGCAAACGUUGCUCGGAAUUAUUGGGCGUAAAGCGCGCGUAGGCGGUUACUUAAGUCGGAUGUGAAAGCCCUCGGCUUAACUGAGGAAGUGCACCCGAAACUGAGUAGCUAGAGUACGAAAGAGGGUCGCGGAAUUCCCGGUGUAGAGGUGAAAUUCGUAGAUAUCGGGAGGAACACCGGUGGCGAAGGCGGCGACCUGGGUCGAGACUGACGCUGAGGCGCGAAAGCGUGGGGAGCAAACAGG
rnacentral:rRNA from 1 species